rnacentral:rRNA from 1 species
AGAUUGAACGCUGGCGGCAUGCCUUACACAUGCAAGUCGAACGGUAACGCGGGGGCAACCCUGGCGACGAGUGGCGAACGGGUGAGUAAUACAUCGGAACGUACCCAGUAGUGGGGGAUAGCUCGGCGAAAAGCCGGAUUAAUACCGCAUACGACCUACGGGUGAAAGCGGGGGAUCGAAAGACCUCGCGCUAUUGGAGCGGCCGAUGUCGGAUUAGCUAGUUGGUGAGGUAAAGGCUCACCAAGGCUACGAUCCGUAGCUGGUCUGAGAGGACGACCAGCCACACUGGGACUGAGACACGGCCCAGACUCCUACGGGAGGCAGCAGUGGGGAAUUUUGGACAAUGGGCGAAAGCCUGAUCCAGCCAUGCCGCGUGUGUGAAGAAGGCCUUCGGGUUGUAAAGCACUUUUAUCGGGAACGAAAUACCACGGGUUAAUACCCUAUGGGCUGACGGUACCUGAGGAAUAAGCACCGGCUAACUUCGUGCCAGCAGCCGC